rnacentral:rRNA from 1 species
AUUGAACGCUGGCGGCAUGCUUUACACAUGCAAGUCGAGCGGCAGCGCGGGGGCAACCCUGGCGGCGAGCGGCGAACGGGUGAGUAAUGCAUCGGAACGUAUCCUCGAGUGGGGGAUAACCCAGCGAAAGUUGGGCUAAUACCGCAUGAGCUCUGAGGAGGAAAGCGGGGGACCUGCGAGGGCCUCGCGCUGGAGGAGCGGCCGAUGUCCGAUUAGCUAGUUGGUGGGGUAAAGGCUUACCAAGGCGACGAUCGGUAGCUGGUCUGAGAGGAUGAUCAGCCACACUGGGACUGAGACACGGCCCAGUCUCCUACGGGAGGCAGCAGUGGGGAAUUUUGGACAAUGGGGGCAACCCUGAUCCAGCCAUGCCGCGUGAGUGAAGAAGGCCUUCGGGUUGUAAAGCUCUUUCGGACGGAACGAAAUGGGCGGGACUAAUACUCCUGUCUGAUGACGGUACCGUAAGAAGAAGCACCGGCUAACUACGUG